AACGCCGCGUGGAGGAUGACGCAUUUCGGUGUGUAAACUCCUUUUAUUAGGGAAGAUAAUGACGGUACCUAAUGAAUAAGCACCGGCUAACUCCGUGCCAGCAGCCGCGGUAAUGCGGAGGGUGCAAGCGUUACUCGGAAUCACUGGGCGUAAAGGGUGCGUAGGCUGGCUUCUAAGCCAGAUGUGAAAUCCAAUGGCUUAACCAUAGAACUGCAUUUGAAACUGGGAGCCUAGAGUUCAGAAGGGGCAGAUGGAAUUAGUGGUGUAGGGGUAAAAUCCGUAGAUAUCACUAGGAAUAUCAAAAGCGAAGGCGAUCUGCUGGGAUGAUACUGACGCUGAGGCACGAAAGCGUGGGGAGCAAACAGGAUUAGAUACCCUGGUAGUCCACGCCCUAAACGAUGAAUGCUAGUCGUCGGGGAGCUCGUCUCUUCGGUGAUGCACUUAACAGAUUAAGCAUUCCGCCUGGGGAGUACGGUCGCAAGAUUAAAACUCAAAGGAAUUGACGG
rnacentral:rRNA from 1 species